rnacentral:rRNA from 1 species
ACUGCUCAGUAACACGUGGAUAACCUGCCCUUGGGUCCGGCAUAACCCCGGGAAACUGGGGAUAAUUCCGGAUAACGCAUAUGUGCUGGAAUGCUUUAUGCGUAAAAUGGAUUCGUCUGCCCAAGGAUGGGUCUGCGGCCUAUCAGGUAGUAGUGGGUGUAAUGUACCUACUAGCCAGCGACGGGUACGGGUUGUGAGAGCAAGAGCCCGGAGAUGGAUUCUGAGACAUGAAUCCAGGCCCUACGGGGCGCAGCAGGCGCGAAAACUUUACAAUGCGGGAAACCGUGAUAAGGGGACACCGAGUGCCAGCAUCAUAUGCUGGCUGUCCGGGUGUGUAAAAUACACCUGUUAGCAAGGGCCGGGCAAGACCGGUGCCAGCCGCCGCGGUAACACCGGCGGCCCGAGUGGUGAUCGUGAUUAUUGGGUCUAAAGGGUCCGUAGCCGGUUUGGUCAGUCCUCCGGGAAAUCUGAUAGCUCAACUAUUAGGCUUUCGGGGGAUACUGCCAGGCUUGGAACCGGGAGAGGUAAGAGGUACUACAGGGGUAGGAGUGAAAUCUUGUAAUCCCUGUGGGACCACCUGUGGCGAAGGCGUCUUACCAGAACGGGUUCGACGGUGAGGGACGAAAGCUGGGGGCACGAACCGGAUUAGAUACCCGGGUAGUCCCAGCCGUAAACGAUGCUCGCUAGGUGUCAGGCAUGGCGCGACCGUGUCUGGUGCCGCAGGGAAGCCGUGAAGCGAGCCACCUGGGAAGUAUGGCCGCAAGGCUGAAACUUAAAGGAAUUGGCGGGGGAGCACAACAACGGGUGGAGCCUGCGGUUUAAUUGGAUUCAACGCCGGGA